AUUGAACGCUGGCGGCAGGCCUAACACAUGCAAGUCGCGCGAGCGGCGGAAGGGUGAGUAAUGUAUGGGGACUGCCCGAUAGAGGGGGAUAACUACUGGAAACGGUGGCUAAUACCGCAUACUAUCGGAUAACCCAUAUGGGAUUAGCUAGUAGGUGGGGUAAAGGCUCACCUAGGCGACGAUCUCUAGAUGGUCUUCGCGGAUGAUCAGCCACCCUGGGACUGAGACACGUCCCAGACUCCUACGGAGGCAGCAGUGGGGAAUAUUGCACAAUGGGCGCAAGCCUGAUGCAGCCAUGCCGCGUGGAUGAAGAAGGCCUUAGGGUUGUAAAGUACUUUCAGCGGGGAGGCGUUACCCGCAGAAGAAGCACCGGCUAACUCCGUGCCAGCCGCCGCGGUAAUUC
rnacentral:rRNA from 1 species